UACGGAGGAGGCAAGCGUUAUCCGGAAUUAUUGGGCGUAAAGCGUCCGUAGGUGGCUAGUCAAGUCUGCGGUCAAAGACUGGGGCUUAACCCUGGAAAGGCCGUGGAAACUGACGAGCUAGGGUGCAGUAGGGGUAGAGGGAAUUCCCGGUGUAGCGGUGAAAUGCGUAGAGCUCGGGAAGAACAUCGGUGGCGAAAGCGCUCUACUGGACUGCAACUGACACUCAGGGACGAAAGCUAGGGGAGCGAAUGGG
rnacentral:rRNA from 1 species